CUCGUCACCCUCGUCUCCUUCCUCGCCCUCGUCGAACUCAGCGCCGACCUCCUCGUAGUCCUUCUCGAGCGCAGCCAGGUCCUCACGGGCCUCAGAGAACUCGCCCUCCUCCAUGCCCUCACCCACGUACCAGUGAACGAAGGCACGCUUGGCGUACAUGAGGUCAAACUUGUGGUCGAUGCGGGAGAACACCUCGACCACGCUGGUGGAGUUGGAGAUCAUGCACACGGCACGCUGCACCUUGGCCAGGUCACCGCCAGGCACCACGCUGGGGGGCUGGUAGUUGAUGCCGCACUUGAACCCAGUGGGGCACCAGUCCACGAACUGGAUGGUGCGCUUGGUCUUGAUGGUGGCAACAGCAGCGUUGACGUCCUUGGGCACCACAUCACCACGGUACAUGAGGCAGCAAGCCAUGUACUUGCCAUGGCGGGGGUCGCACUUGGCCAUCAUGGAGGACGGCUCAAAGGCGCUGUUGGUGAUCUCUGCAACAGACAGCUGCUCAUGGUAGGCCUUCUCGGCAGAGAUGACUGGUGCAUAGGAUGAAAGCAUGAAGUGGAUCCUCGGGUAGGGCACCAAGUUGGUCUGGAACUCGUUCACAUCCACGUUCAGAGCACCAUCGAACCUCAGGGAGGCAAUCAGAGAUGAGAUGACCUGCAUCACAACAAUGAUGACGAACAGAAGGUUAGACAAGCACAGAUUUCAGAACCAUUCACAAUGCAGAGGGACAACACUGAAUGUUGCGACAGUAAACCAAGGCAGUACCUGAGACACGAGCCUGUUGAGGUUGGUGUAGGUGGGGCGCUCAAUGUCAAGGGAGCGGCGGCAGAUGUCAUAGAUGGCCUCAUUGUCAAGCAGAACAGCAACAUCAGUGUGCUCGAGGAGGGAGUGGGUGGACAGGACACUGUUGUAUGGCUCAACCACUGAGGUGGAGACCUGGGGAGAUGGGUACACAGUGAACCCGAGCUUGGACUUCUUGCCAUAGUCAACAGACAGACGCUCAAGGAGGAGAGAACCAAGACCAGAGCCUGUUCCUCCACCAACAGCAUUGAAGACAAGGAAGCCCUGGAGACCAGUGCAGUUGUCGGCAAGCUUCCUGAUGCGGUCAAGGCACAGGUCAACAAUCUCCUUGCCAACUGCAAGACAAGCAAUCAAAGUCAGACUUUCAAUGAAGGAUGGAUAACUGGAAACAAUGUGCACUUUGAGAUCAGAUCAUGUUACUUACUGGUGUAGUGACCACGGGCAAAGUUAUUGGCAGCAUCCUCCUUGCCACUGAUGAGCUGCUCAGGGUGGAAGAGCUGGCGGUAAGUACCAGUCCUCACCUCAUCAAUCACAGUGGGCUCAAGGUCAACAAAAACAGCACGGGGCACAUGCUUCCCAGCACCAGUCUCACUGAAGAAGGUGUUGAAAGCAUCAUCACCUCCUCCAACGGUCUUGUCGCCGGGCAUCUGGCCAUCAGCC
rnacentral:lncRNA from 1 species